AAAAAUCAUGAAAAUGCAUAUCAUUCAUGUAGCACCAAAUGUAACACAUCACUUCAAAAUUUGUAACUCACAAACCACAUAUGAGAAAUGUAUAAACUCUACAUGGAAACAAAGGUGAAUGAGUCUAGUUUCUUCACAAAAAAUUUCAGGACCAAAGGAUGCAACAUGAGUAUUUCACAAUUGAAAUGGAAAAGGGUGUCACUUUGGCAUACAUGUUAAGAAAA
rnacentral:lncRNA from 1 species